rnacentral:lncRNA from 1 species
AAGAAUGCACAAGCUAUAGUCUGCUGUAUUCAUGGAGCACACAAGAAAGAAAUGUGAAGAGAGGCGGGAUUCCCAUGUUAAAGUGCACUCUACCGUCAGACUUUCUUCAUAAGGAGCCAACCAGUCUUCAGGAGGAUCCACCUAUAUGCAGAGAAAGAAAGUGCUCUUUUAUCUGUAAGCUUACCAAAGUAGAUCUUUGAACCUAAAAAACAUAAAUUUUAAAAGCAAUUAAAAAAUCUGAUGUCUCAAUUUUAACAAUCAAGAAAACAAACUCUCUUACUACAUGGAUCCAAAUAUCUACUGUUAAAAAUAAAUCCAUUUAAUAAGCACCUGCUAAUCCUCUCCUAAUAGUUGGGGAUCAAUAAAAUUGAUAGACCGCUAGCAAGACUAAUAAAGAAGAAAAGAAGAAUCAAAUAGACGCAAUAAAAAAUGACAAAGGAGAUAUCACCACCGAUCCCACAGAAAUACAAACUACCAUCAGAGAAUACUAUAAACACCUCUACGCAAAUAAACUAGAAAAUCUAGAAGAAAUGGAUAAAUUCCUUGACACAUACA